GGAAUCUUGGACAAUGGGGGAAACCCUGAUCCAGCCAUGCCGCGUGAGUGACGAAGGCCCUAGGGUCGUAAAGCUCUUUCGCCAGGGAAGAUAAUGACGGUACCUGGUAAAGAAACCCCGGCUAACUCCGUGCCAGCAGCCGCGGUAAUACGGAGGGGGUUAGCGUUGUUCGGAAUUACUGGGCGUAAAGCGCGCGUAGGCGGAUUAGAAAGUUGGGGGUGAAAUCCCGGGGCUCAACCUCGGAACUGCCUCCAAAACUACUAGUCUAGAGUUCGAGAGAGGUGAGUGGAAUUCCGAGUGUAGAGGUGAAAUUCGUAGAUAUUCGGAGGAACACCAGUGGCGAAGGCGGCUCACUGGCUCGAUACUGACGCUGAGGUGCGAAAGUGUGGGGAGCAAAC
rnacentral:rRNA from 1 species